CAAUAGCGUAUAUUAAAGUUGUUGCAGUUAAAAAGCUCGUAGUCGGAUUUCUGGUAGGAGUGACCGUUCCGAACUUGAUUGUUCGUGUAUUGUGUUUUCUCCAGCCAUCCUUGUGGAGAACUUUUCUUGCAUUAAUUUGUAGGGAUUGGGACCCGCAUCGUUUACUGUGAAAAAAUUAGAGUGUUUAAAGCAGGCAAUCGCUUGAAUACAUUAGCAUGGAAUAAUAAGAUAGGACUUUGGUACUAUUUUGUUGGUUUGCAUACCAAAUUAAUGAUCAACAGGAACAGUUUGAGGAUAUUCGUAUGAACAUGUCAGAGGUGAAAUUCUUGGAUUUUGAUCAGACGAACUACUGCGAAAGCAUUUAUCAAGGAUGUUUUCAUUAA
rnacentral:rRNA from 1 species